AUGGCCCCUUCGAUCAUCUACAAUGAUGCAGUCCAGGGUGAGGUUUUCCUCCCCAGACAGAUCUUCAUAUUCAGUGGCUUCGCACUGCGGGUCAACUUGCUUGGCCAUCUGGAGCAGAUCGAUAGCUACGCCCCUGGCUAUCAGGUCGGGUUUGGAUGGCUGAAUUACACUGCCGACAUCCACGAAUACUUGAUCUUCGACGGAUUCGAGCCCAUGACAGGUGCACCCUAUAGUCGCGAUGAGCAUGACUUAGAUCUGCCAUCGGACGAUGUUCAGGAGAUCACACCUGCAGCUUCCCCAGCUUUAAAUCCAGAGCAGAUCGUGCCAUCCGAGGACGGGUUGAUGGACUAG
rnacentral:rRNA from 1 species